CUUUCAGUUAUUAACUGAUUAUAAUUACCUCCCCUGAAUGACGUCAUCCGGGAAUACCCGAUUAUCGACUGUAAGCAAACAAAGAGAUGUCUGUUUGACAAUGUGUGUUUUCAACGGUGUAAAUGGACUUAAAAUAUGAACGAAAAGAUUAAUGACCACGACUAUGCUGUCCAGUUUUACACAGCAACACCAGUAUUCGACUCAAAACCGGAUGGAAAACAGAUUCAAGACAUUACUGUAUCACUCGAGAAGAAGUUGAAGUCUAACAGGAUCUGCUGUGUGCCCAAAUGUCACACCACUGGCUAAGGAUUGUUAGAAGGCCAUGGAAAGCCCAGCUAUCAUGCAUUUCCAGCUGAAGAUGAUCCAGUUCAAGCUGUUUGGUUGAAUAAAAUACGAAGAGAUGAAGACAGACAUUUUAAGAUAAGUCACAAUACGGUUGUCUGUUUUUUCCAUUUUGAACGUGACUGUCUUUAUGAAUCUGGAUUUGCUAAGCGGAGGUAUCUAAAACCAGGAGCCAUCCCUACACUAUUCGACUGCUGGAAGGACAAACCACAUCUGUUGAAGCGAAUUCAAGUGGAACGUGCAAUUAACAAGAUUAAAAGUUUUCACAUAUUUGAUCAGGUCAUUCUGGUUUCUCUGUUUGGGAUAAUUAAUCAAAUUUGGACAGUUUGCUCAUUGCUCACUCUUUUCCAAGACCCAAUUAUACCAUGUCCUGGUGUUUAACAUACAUACCAUUUAUAUGAACAUUUGUUGUUCGUGUACAUCAUACUACCGUAAAUUUGCGGCCAUAAGUCGACCUAAAAACGCUCCCAAAAUUGACUUUAAAAGUCAACUCGACUUAUGGAUGAGGUACUAAAUAAAAAUAAAAAUAAAAACAUAUUUCUGUGCCGUUUUUUUUUAAAGUAAUUAAUCUCCGAAGCGGAGGAAUGAUGACUAUUUACGGUAAAGGCGACUCGUCUUUUACUUAAAUGUCCGCUGAUAACAAAAUACUGCAUGUUUACAUUGGGUUUUAAUUCAUUAAUCUUCGUAAUAAGUCCAAAUAAAAACAUGUAAAAAUAACUUCGAAAAUAUUAAACAUUUGUGACGUACGGUAAAGUGGCGAAAUUUAUACAUAGCAAUUUGUCUAUUGAUACAUCGUCCGUUGUCUGCUAAGAACAAUAGAAAAUCGACUGCUGACACUUGUACCCAUUUAAAGUUAAUCCGUGUAAAUACAAACUGUCAACAGAUGCAGGUGUCUUUAUGCCACCAAUUAUCGCUUCUCGGCCUUUUGACUAAGAUCAAAGUGUAAAGUGUAGUGUUGGCAUCCUUUUGAUCAUUUGUCUUUAUUGCGUCACGCCUAAAAAUAGUUAUCCGUUAAUGAUAUGCAAAACGGUUCUGCUACAAACUACUUCGGACCAAUCAAAAAUAAUUACUCUAUCGUUGGAUACGCCUUUAACCAAUCGCUAUUGUUCAACUCCACAUGGUAUAUUUUUUUGAUUGGAUGAAGGUGUGGUUUCGUUGAUUUAUUCACAACUGUCCCACAAUUUAUGCAUAAUCGUUUUCGUAAAUAAAUAGAUCUUAUCUGAGUGAAGAUUUCAUUCAUUGUUUGAUUAUAAUAAUAUUACGCACUCACCCUGGAUUAUUUAAAAGUGUAAUUGGACAUAUUAAAUACACAAUUACUUUCAAUUAGCUGCUUAGUAUUAUUAGAUAAGACGUUUUUCCAGAAUGCAGAAAAUAUUCCUCGGGUAUCUCGUGAUUUACGAAUAUGUAUAUAACAGUCGAAUAGCGAGCGAUGCGAGUGUUGGUAAAUUCACGUGUUUCAUACAUAAUGGCGAAAGCGUUUUUGAGAGCAAGUUACAAUUAUUUUGACCAUAUAAUGAAUUUCUGCGUUCAAGAUUUUAACGAAUUUUCACAUCAAUAGCACUAACAUUUGAAUACAAAAAUAUCUGCUCAUAAUAUAAACGCUGAAAGUUAUUACGUUAAAUGGGAAACUAAUUUUGAUUUGUGAAAUAUAUAUUAAGUUCGAAAUAAUCAAUGAAAUGUUAUUAUGAUUUUGAACAAUAAAAUAUAUUUUUCGUGAUAAUAAAUAAUUGAAACGUUGAAUGUUUCGUUUUAAAUAUAUUCUUAUUAUUAAUAUCCCAAAAAAUGUCAACUGCCAGUGCAAAAGCCCUCAGAACCAUGACUAAAACGUCACUAAAACAUGUCUGAGAUAUUGAGGAAAUUUACCCCCGACUUAUGGCAGAGUCAAGGCAGAAAACCAAGUUUUUCUAGCCACAUUAUACCCCUCGACUUAUGGCCGAGGUAGACUUAUGGCCGCGAAUAUACGGUACAUGUAGGCUAAUGAAAAACCAUUGGCUGUUCAUGUAAUAUUUGUACAUUUUUUGGCUUUGUAUAAAGUUUUUGAUAAUUAUCUUGAUAUAAGCAUUGAUUUAGUUACAGAUUAAUGCUUAAAGAGUACUUAAAGCUACACACCUUGAAAUAAAGUACAUGUUCAUAUAGAUGCAAUUUGAAAGUGUGCAAAAUUUUCAUUAAAUCUAUAGUCUAGUUAGCAAGUAAUUUAUUAUUUUUCAAACAGGAAUAACUGCUUUUAAAACUGAAAGAAGGAUUUCUAUAUUAAACACGAUUAUUUUUAACUUUUUAAAGCGCAAAAAAAGAUGGCUUUCUACCUUGUUACCACCAGAUAUAUUCUAGUUGGCAUAAUAAAAUUAAAUCUAUAGCCUAGUUUAAUAGCAAGUUAUUUUUUUUUUCAAACAGUACUGCUUUUAAAACCGAAAGUAGGAUUUCCAGACGUACACAUCCAUUUCGACAAACGCGAUUAUUUUUAAGUUGUAAAGUGCAAAAAAGAUGGAUUUCUACCUUGUAACCACCAGAUAUAUUCUAAUUGGCAUAGAUAAAAUAUGUCACUCAUACUUAAAUUUACUAUGCCAAAUAAGGUGUGUGGCCUUUACAUAAAAAUUGUAUAUACAUCUUUUUAAUCAUGUUUGUUAAUUUGUUUUGAUUGUAUGACUACUGAAUAAAUAAUUUUGUUAAUAGAAA